rnacentral:rRNA from 1 species
UUUGAUCCUGGCUCAGGAUGAACGCUGGCGGCGUGCCUAAGGCAUGCAAGUCGUGGGAUCGGCCUAGUUUUUCUUCGGAAUUAUGAGGUACGGACCGGCAAACGGGAGAGUAACACACUGAUAACUUACCUUCGAGACGGGAAUAGCUCACCGAAAGGUGGAUUAAUGCCCGAUAGGCAUGGGGGGACAUGAAGUCAUUCCUAUGUAAAUCCGCCAUCUGGCGGAGCUCGAAGAGAGGUCUAUGUCUGAUUAGCUUGUUGGUAGGGUAAUGGCCUACCAAGGCGAUGAUCAGUACCGGGCGUGAGAGCGUGACCCGGCUCACUGGGACUGAGACACUGCCCAGACACCUACGGGUGGCUGCAGUCAGGAAUAUUCCACAAUGCACGAAAGUGUGAUGGAGCGACGCCGCGUGCAGGAAGACGCCCUUCGGGGUGUAAACUGCUUUUCUCAGGGAAGAAACUAUGACGGUACCUGAGGAAUAAGAGGUUGCAAACUCUGUGCCAGCAGCAGCGGUAAUACAGAGACCUCAAGCGUUAUCCGGAUUCAUUGGGCGUAAAGCGUCCGCAGGUGGUUUUUUAAGUUGAUAGUCAAAUCUUCGGGCUUAACCUGGAGACUGCUGUCAAUACUGGGAAACUUGAGGCUGGGAGAGGCACACGGAACUGUUGGUGUAGUAGUAAAAUGCGUUGAUAUCAACAGGAACACCAAAGGCGAAGGCAGUGUGCUGGAACAGUUCUGACACUCAUGGACGAAA